CACGUAGGGUGCGAGCGUUGUCCGGAAUUAUUGGGCGUAAAGAGCUCGUAGGCGGUCUGUCGCGUCGGCUGUGAAAACUCGGGGCUCAACUCCGAGCUUGCAGUCGAUACGGGCAGGCUAGAGUUCGGCAGGGGAGACUGGAAUUCCUGGUGUAGCGGUGAAAUGCGCAGAUAUCAGGAGGAACACCGGUGGCGAAGGCGGGUCUCUGGGCAUUAACUGACGCUGAGGAGCGAAAGCAUGGGGAGCGAACAGG
rnacentral:rRNA from 1 species